rnacentral:rRNA from 1 species
UACGUAGGGCGCAAGCGUUAUCCGGAAUCACUGGGCGUAAAGCGCACGUAGGCGGCUUUUUAAGUCAGGGGUGAAAUCCUGGAGCUCAACUCCAGAACUGCCUUUGAUACUGAGAAGCUUGAGUCCGGGAGAGGUGAGUGGAACUGCGAGUGUAGAGGUGAAAUUCGUAGAUAUUCGCAAGAACACCAGUGGCGAAGGCGGCUCACUGGCCCGGUACUGACGCUGAGGUGCGAAAGCGUGGGGAGCAAACAGG